GGAGGUAUAUCUCAAUGGUAGAGUACGUGCUUAGUAUGCUUGAGGUUCUGGGUUCAGUCCCUGGAACCUCUA
rnacentral:tRNA from 1 species